UGAGCUUGGGUUCUCUUUGAGGUUUCUUGGUCGCCAAGUGCUUGCUGAUGUGACGUUCAGGUGGUUUUCUUAAUGUAUGAGGAGUGUGGUUCUUGAUCUCAAUUUGUAAAAUGCUUUGAGAUUAGCUCUAUUGUGAAUUGGCGCUUUCCAUGUAAAAUUGACUUGACACAGAAGGGCAUUUCUAAUAUUUUGAUUUAAAUACACGUUCCUCAUGAUACAGUGCAGUUUUUUAAAUUAUUCCUUUGUUGAGAACAGUUUCUCAUUUACAAUGCCGACCUGGAGGCAAUUUAAGGUUCAGUGUCAUGCCCAAGGACACUUGGACAGCAGACUGUCAGAGCCGGGAUUCAAACAGCGGACCCUUCGGUUAGUCGACGACCCACUUUUACAACAUAUCCACAGCUUCCCCGAAGUUCCACACCAAUGCAAACCACAAAAAUGAACAAACUGUGAAACGAGGUCAAAGGUUCCAUGCCAGGCAACAUUUUUGUGCAAGUUUGUUUUUGUAUUUUUCCAUAGCGUUAUGAGGAAGGCGUGUUAUUUUUCAAGUCACAUAUUGUAUGAAAUCCUAUCUUGGGCAAGUCCCCACAAUAUGAGGAAAUGCGGUAAACAAACACACAAUGCAGCCCUAUGGGGGGCACAAACCAGUGCAAACUGUAGGCCGGUCGUAAGCCCGGAUAAAGGCAGAGGGUUGCGUCAGGAAGGGCAUCUGGCUUAAAACUUUGCCAAACAAAUAGGAGCAUUCAUCCAAAGAAUUCCAUAGCGGAUCGGUCGUGGCCCGGGUUAACAACGUCUGCCACCGGCGGCGUCAACCUGCAGGGCGGCGGUGGAAAUUCUGCGACUGUGGGUCGAAGUCGAAGAAGAAGAUGAGGUGGAAAGUGGGUUCUUAGGCAGAAAGAGGAAAGUACAGAGACUAGAACUGAAUGUGGGGACUUUGAAUGUUGGGACAAUGACAGGAAAAUCUCGGGAGUUGGUUGACAUGAUGAUAAGGAGAAAGGUUGACAUAUUGUAUGUCCAGGAGAACAGGUGGAAAGGCAGUAAGGCAAAAAAAGUUUAGGGGCAGGGUUUAAAUGAUUUUACAAUGAUGUAGAUGGGAAGAGAAAUGGGGUUAUUUUAAAAGAAGAGUUGGCUAAGAAUGUCUUGGAGGUGAGAAGUGUAUCAGAUCGAGUGAUGAGGCUGAAACUUGAAAUUGAGGGUAUAUGUAUAAUGUGAUUAGUGGCUAUGCCCCACAGGUUGGAUGUGACCGAGAGGUGAAAAGAGAAAUUCUGGAAGGAGCUCGACGAAGUAGUUCUGAGGAUCCUAGACAGAGAGAGAGAGAGCCAUGAUUGGUGCAGAUUGUAAUGGACAUGUUAGUGAAGGAAAUAGGGGUGAUGAAGAAGUGAUGGGUAAGUACGGCAUCCAGGAAAGGAACUUGGAGGGACAGAUGGUGGUAGACUUUGCAAAAAGGAUGCAAAUGGCUGUAGUAAACACUUUUUUCCAGAAGAGGCAGGAACAUAGGGGGACCUACAAGAGCGGAGGUAGAAGCACGCAGGUGGAUUACAUCUUGUGCAGACAAUGUAAUCUGAAGGAGGUUACCGACUGUAAAGUAGUGGUAGGGGAGAGUGUGGCUAGACAGCAUAGGAUGGUGGUGUGUAAGAUAACUCUGGUGGUGGGGAGGAAGAUAAAGGCAGAGCAGAGAACCAUGUGGUGGAAGCUGAGACAGGACGAGUGUUGUGCAGCUUUUCGGGAAGAGGUAAGACAGGCUCUCGUAGACAGGAGGAGCUUCCAGAAGACUGGACCACUGCAGCCAAGGUGAUCAUAGAGGCAGGCAGGAGAGUACUUAGUGUAUCUUCUGGCAGGAAAGGAGAGAAGGCAACUUGGUGGUGGAACCUCACAGUACAGGAAAUCAUACAACGAAAAAGGUUAGCUAAAAAGAAGCGGGACACUGAGAUGACUGAGGAGAGGUGAAAGGAAUAUAUUGAGAUGCGACGUAGGGCAAAGGUAGACAUGGCAAAGGCCAAACAAGAGGCAUAUGAUGACAUGUAUGCCAGGUUAGACAAUAAAGAAGGAGAAAAGGAUCUAUACAGGUUGGCCAGACAGGGGGAUAGAGAUGGGAAGCAUGUGCAGCAGGUUAGGGUGAUUAAGGAUAGAGAUAGAAAUAUGGUGACUGGUGCCAAUAGUGUGCUAGAUAGAUGGAAAGAAUACUUUGAGGAGUUGAUGAAUGAGGAAAAUGAGAGAGAAGGGAGAGUAGAAGAGGCAAGUGUGGUGGACCAGGAAGUGGCAAUGAUUAGUAAGGUGAAAAAUGAAAGAUGUAAAAAAAAAAAAGGCAGUUGGUCCUGAUGACAUUCCUGUGGAGGUAUGGGAAGCAUCUAGGAGAGGUGGCUGUGGAGUUUGUGACCAGCUUGUUUAAUAGAAUCCUAGCGCGUGAGAAGAUGCCUGAGGAAUGGAGGAAAAGUGUGCUGGUGCCCAUUUUUAAGAACAAGGGUGAUGUGCAGAGCUGUGGGAACUAUAGAGGAAUAAAGUUGAUGAGCCACACAAUGAAGUUAUGGAAAGGGGGGUGGAGGCUAGACUCAGAACAGAAGUGAGUAUUUGCGAGCAACAGUAUGGUUUCAUGCCUAGAAAGAGUAGCACAGAUGCGUUAUUUGCCUUGAGGAUGUUGAUGGAAAAGUACAGAGAAGGUCAGAAGGAUCUACAUUGUGUCUUUGUAGAUCGAGAGAAAGCCUAUGACAGAGUACCCAGAGAGGAACUGUGGUACUGAUGCGGAAGUCUGGAGUGGCAGAGAAGUAUGCCAGAAUAAUACAGGACAUGUACGAGGGCAGCAGAACAGCGGUGAGGUGUGCUGUAGGUGUGACAGACAAAUUUAAGGUGGAGGUGGGACUGCAUCAGGGAUCAGCCCUGAGCACCUUCCUGUUUGCAGUGAUGGAUAGGCUGACAGAUGAGGUUAGACUGCAAUCCCCGUGGACCAUGAUGUUUGCAGAUGACAUUGUGAUCUGCAGAGAAAAAGCAGGGAUCAGGUGGAGGAACACUUAGAAAGAUGGAGGCAUGCACUGGGAAACAGAGGAAUGAAUAUUAGCCAAAAUAAAACAGAAUAUAUGUGCAUGAAUGAGAGGGGUGGUGGGGGAAGAGUGAGGCUGCAGGGAGAAGAGAUAGUAAGGGUGGAGGACUUUAAAUACUUGGGUUCAACCGUCCAAAGCAAUGGUGAGUGUGGUCAGGAAGUGAAGAAACUGGUCCAAGCAGGUUGGAACGGGUGGAGGAAGGUAUCAGGUGUCUUCUGUGACAGAAGAGUAUCUGCUAGGAUGAAGGGCAACGUUUAUAAAACAUGAUGUACGGAUUAGAGACAGCGGCACUGAAGAGACAACAGGAAGCAGAGCUGGAGGUGGCGGAAAUGAAGAUGUUGAGGUUCGCUCUCGGAGUGACCAGGUUGGAUCAAAUUAGAAAUGAGCUCAUCAGAGGGACAGCCAAGGUUCGAUGUUUUGGAGACAAAGUUAGAGAGAGCAGACUUCGAUGGUUUGGACACGUCCAGAGGAGAAAUAGUGAGUAUAUUGGUAGAAGGAUGAUGAGGAUGGAGCUGCCAGGAAAGAGAGCUAGAGGAAGAGCAAAGCGAAGGUUGAUGGAUGUCGUGAGGGAAGACAUGAGGGCAGUUGGUGUUCGAGAGGAGGAAGCAGGAGAUAGGCUUACAUGGGAAAGGAUGACGCGCUGUGAUGACCCCUACAGGGACAAGCCCAAAGGAAAAGAAGAAGAAGCGCAAACGGGACCAUAUGAGUGAGCCCCAUGCAGCCGAGGCUGGGUCCAGACCCGGUCUGCGUGUCAGACAGCUGCUGGAAGUCUUUCUGUCGUCGAGGAGCUCUCGACCUCCACCUCAACCCGCGUUGUUGACCCCAAGAGACGACCGCUGACACCAUCCUGUUGACUGCUGAACGAGGAUUCAACCAUGAGAAGAGUCCAUGUUGUUCCGAGGAUGAGUGGACCAGUGGGAGCGGCCUGCGCGCACACCUGUUGGUCGGGCUGAUCAAAAGACCGGGAGGGACGUCUUUGAUUACGCCGACUUUGUCCGCCCGCUUCUGAGAGUAGAGCUGCUGCUCAGCGGGGGAAUACCUCAGGAAAUCCUUUUCAUCGGAAUGAAGCUAUAACUCUGCAUCUCCAAAGUCCAAACUAUCUCGCUCCAGUACUAACUAAAUCUCCUACACCAUCCCCGAGUUCGUCUUGACCCCUGACCUCCUUGUUACCAUCCUGUUUGGGGAUCAUCACAGAAAAGCAACGUAACCGUGGUGACAUCUUAAUGCUGUCUCCCCCGUGGUUCAAGCAGGAAACUCCACCCUAAAUCUGAACGUGUUUUGACUCGAGACAAGAUGAAACUGCACCCGUACGUCUUGGGAACAUCUUAACUCCACUGCAUGUCCUCAAACUGCCACGUAAGAACAUUCCAUCAUAAAGAAAAGUGUUCCGUACAGAGGUUUAAUGUUUGAACAAACAUUCUCAGCUCUUCAAACUAUUAACUGACCGCAAGUGGCGAAACUAUUCACAGUCUGUACUUAAUUCUGACUCUUGUCAAACUAGAAGUCGUGAUUCUCUCUACUUACUAUUUAUUUUCUUUUUUGACAUGGUGUCAUCAUCCGUGGAAGUUUGAAAAUGGUAACCAGCCUAUUUUGCACAGAUAUCUUUUCUCAAGCGUGGGGAGUAAAAGUAAAAAGUUGUCAGCAAAAUAAAUACUCGAGGAAAGUACAGAUAGCUGAAAAAUGAUCGGUAACUGACACAUGUCAUUGUGCUUUAAUUGAUCCUCCAAACAGCACACAUCCUCCAUUGGCUGUUAGCUGGAAAUCUUUUGUAGGGAGUUUAAAAAAUAAAAAUAAAACAUCACGCAAAAGUCACACAAGCACCUCGUCAUUUGGUGGGCUUGUAAACAAAGUGUGAAAACUUGCAAUCUAUCCAGGCAAGCCUGAGCUUGGCCUGUUUGGGGAGUUCCUGUUCUGCCCCCCUUUUUCUCUCCUGCCUUGGUUUGUCAUCUCCAUUUUAUAAACAUGCAAUUUUGAAUGGAAGUGAAUUGGCAUAGGGAGUUUGAUUGUAUUAGUGUGCAGAAACGUCACGGAAUAUUUUGCGUUUUGCCUUCGAAUGGAAGCAUAUACGAGCACAUUCCUUAGCAUCUGUCGUCCUCAGGCAGCUGAUGAUGAAUUCAAGUGCUUGUCCUGGAUUAAAAACAACCCACAAGGACACACUGAUGACUUUUGGGUCUAAUAGUAACUGCUCACAGGGGGGCUUCCAGAAAAAUAAGUCAAAUGUUGGAUCCAAGAAUACACAUGAAAGCACAGAGUUGACAUAACCUUUCAAUAUAGGAUGACAUGAGUAAGAUUCAAAAAAAGAAAGAAAAACACUGCCACGCUGUCGAGUAUUUAGAACAGUGCUUGGCAAACCUUUUGGGUCCAGAGACUCUUUACUGGGUGGAAAGUUUUCCAAGGACUCCCCCGCCCCCCCUUAUAAAAUUAAACAUAAUUCCUUAGAUACCACUUAAUGGGUAUUAAAAAGUUGCCUAUUGUUGAGACAGGAACUGUUAUGUUAAAAAAAUGUCAAAUCUUUAGAGAACAAAAGUAAUAAUAUGACAAAAAAAGAAAAUCAAGUCAGACUCUUGACAGGAACAAUGAUGUAUUUGUCAGGAUUAGAAAAGGGAAGAAAUUUGUCUUGUUAGCCAGCAUUAUUGUCUCCUGCAGCAACAAGAAUAAAAACAACAAACUCAAGAAAUUAAAAAGAGUCAGUGGCCUUGAUACAGCCUUUGUGGAAUCCCAUGACCAGGAUGUCUUAAGAAUCUACCCAGACAUAAAAAAAAAAAAAAAAAAAAACGUUUAGCAAGCACAUUGGUAUUUGUAUUGAUAUUGUGACAGUUACAAAUGAUACAGGCCCUUAUAUUAUUAGGCUAACUACAUUUUAACAAGUGAAAUAAAAAAAUACAACUAUUGCUUGUACAUUGCAUCUUUUAUUCCACAAAAAGACACCUUUAUUCUCGAAAACAAAAAUUGGCUAUAUUCUUGUAGAAAUAAACUUUAUGUUCUCGAAAAAAUGGGACAUUAACUUCUAAUAUUAUGCCUUUUGUUAUAUAAAAAAAACAAAAAAAAACAAGCGAUGUCAGAUUUUUGUAAUCAUGUCACUGUCACAUCAGUGCAUUUAAUUGGUCUGAAGUUAAGGUAGGGAGAAGUAAUUGGCUUAGUAUGUUUCUUUUAUUCCCACUUUUAUAAAAUUACACGACGUAAUAAUUUAUUGCAAAUAAUUUUACGGACCCUCUAGCUAUGGGUUGCAGAACCCCGGGGGUCUGAGGAUGCCCAUUUGAGAACCACUCAUUUACACUACCAUAAAUACAGUAAUUGAUCAUAACUUAUGUAAGGUCAUCGGAGGAUGAGUGUUAACACAACCACCUCAGGUGAAAUUCAAAGGCCACUACCACCCACAGUGCCACGGUGCCCCCCCAGAAAGGCCCCUGAGUGCUGAGCCCCUGCCAGCGUCCCCCACUAAUGAAUGGACGCUUAAUGAUCUGAGCAGGGCAUU